rnacentral:lncRNA from 1 species
GGAAAGAGUUUUUCCUAAGCUGUGGGGAUUUUCCUUAUCCAGAAUAGACCAAGGGAGAAGCAGCCUUUUUGGUGGAGUACUUCUGCCCCCGUGUGGGCAUCUUGGGGCACUACAACAGAGUGGGACACCAAGACUAAAGGUUUUCAGGUCUCAGGUUCUGUGACUUCCAUGGACCCUGAAAGACAGAUGUCCACCAGGGCUACCAUCACUCGACACUUAAGCCUGGAGUGGGAACGAGAGAGUAUGGGGCUUCUUGCGGAACGUAUCCUUUAAGGAACCAGCCUUAGCUGUGUUUGUGGGCAGAUGAAGCCUUCGCAUCCUGUCCUGCGCAAGGUGGGCUGGACAUGGGCUUUCUCUCUUGAACUACGUAUAUAGAAUGGUCUGAUUUGAGGGAAAUAGAGAUCAGGGGAGGGGGAUUUCUAGAGUGGAGGAACAGUGCCUCCCCAGCCGGUUGUUGGGAUGGAUGUUAGCACCAGGGCCUGCAAGCCCCUCCCAGUGUGCCUCUUGGCCUUCUUUUUUGCACCUGUGGUUGGGCUGCGGUGUAACGGCCCAGCCUACCUCUUCUGGGCACGUGGCCUGGAGAGAUGCUAUCUCUAACUCUGUAUUUUUAACUCUUCUUUCCAGAGGAUGUGGCUUCUGCGGGAGAGCUUCAAAGGGUGCCCUGUUUGCCCCUGUCAGCAACCAUGACGUCACGGAAAUGGGAGGAGGGUACUCAGCCCCAAACACCUGGAGGGAAAUGUACCUGUUGGACAGUCUGCUGUGAUUCUAACAGCGAGUAUAGAGAAGAAGACUCAUUGGCAUUUCUGAUGUAAUCAAAAGAAGCAUCAAGGAGAUCGAUAUGUGUGCAGUGACUGGGAAUGUUGCAAUGAUUGCUGUGCAAACUCCCUCUGGGCACAGUUGGACAAGGAUGAUCCACCUCUGUGUAAAAGAACAACCCAGUGAGACAUCAUCUCCCAAUUUGAGCCAUUUCCUGAUCUUUAUUAGUUUAUCUGCCCUCUUCCUCCA